CUCCGGUUGAUCCCGCCGGACCCCGACUGCUAUCAGAGUGGGACUAAGCCAUGCGAGUCAACGUAGCAAUACGUGGCAUACGGCUCAGUAACACGUAGUCAACAUGCCCAGGGGACGAGGAUAACCUCGGGAAACUGAGGAUAAACCUCGAUAGGCCAUGAUUUCUGGAAUGAUUCUUGGCUCAAACCUAUAUGGCCCCUGGAUUGGACUGCGGCCGAUCAGGCUGUUGGUGAGGUAAUGGCCCACCAAACCUAUUACCGGUACGGGCUCUGAGAGGAGGAGCCCGGAGAUGGGCACUGAGACAAGGGCCCAGGCCCUAUGGGGCGCAGCAGGCGCGAAACCUCUGCAAUAGGCGAAAGCUUGACAGGGUUACUCUGAGUGAUUUCCGCUAAGGGAAUCUUUUGGCACCUCUAAAAAUGGUGCAGAAUAAGGGGUGGGCAAGUCUGGUGUCAGCCGCCGCGGUAAUACCAGCACCCCGAGUGGUCGGGACGAUUAUUGGGCCUAAAGCAUCCGUAGCCGGUCCUGCAAGUCUUCCGUUAAAUCCAGCUGCUCAACAGAUGGGCUGCGGGAGAUACUACAGGGCUAGGAGGCGGGAGAGGCAAGCGGUACUUUAUGGGUAGGGGUAAAAUCCGCUGAUCCAUAGAAGACCACCAGUGGCGAAGGCGGCUUGCCAGAACGCGCUCGACGGUGAGGGAUGAAAGCUGGGGGAGCAAACCGGAUUAGAUACCCGGGUAGUCCCAGCUGUAAACGAUGCAGACUCGGUGAUGGGUUGGCCUCGCGCCUACCCAGUGCCGCAGGGAAGCCGUUAAGUCUGCCGCCUGGGGAGUACGGUCGCAAGACUGAAACUUAAAGGGAAUGGCGGGGGAGCA
rnacentral:rRNA from 1 species